AUGAAGAGGCCUAUGGCAGAAAGGUUAACCAUGGACUUGAAUCAGUCAAUGGAGUUCACACCUUCUUCAACCUCUUCUCCACAGAUUCAUAACUUCCUGCCAAUGACUUCUUUCAUGUUGUCUUUUCACCAGGCUUCCAAGGAGGACGGUGAAGAAGUGAAGCAUUCCCAUCUUCUGAUUCAGAAGCGCAAUUUAGAGUUAUUCUGGUACCAACAAAUGAUGGAGAUUCAUAACAUUACAGCCUUCAAGAGCCACCAUCAGCUACCUCUAGCAAGGAUCAAGCGGAUUAUGAAAUCUGAUAAAGAUGUGAAGAUGAUCAGUGCAGACGCUCCUGUCUUGUUCUCCAAGGCCUGUGAGCUCUUCAUUCUGGAGCUCACUUUGCGUGCGUGGCUGGAAACGGAAGAAGGUAAGCGCCGGACCCUGCAACGCUCAGACAUUGCCAGGGCUAUAAGGCAAGAGGAGGCACUUGAUUUCUUGGUUGACGUUGUCCCAUUGAUUAACCAAAAGGAUGAUGAUGUAAAAUUUGCAGAGGAAAAUGAGUGUGAUCCUAUAAAUCAACUGCAGUUUCCUGUGUUGGAUACGAAUGCUGAUCUGGUUAUGAGGAGCCCAGAAGUUCAGCAUCUCAUGAUCAAGACACCCAUGUCCUCUGAUGAGUUUAAUUAUGAAUCUGCUACCAGGGUAUAAGAGAUUUGAUAUGAAAUAUAGAAUUUAUACAUAAGAACCAGAUUCAUGCACCCUAAAUUUGAUGUGAAUGAAGGCAGCUGAAAGAAAGAAAAAACAAUGGCAAUUAUGGAACAUGAAGCAGCUGUAACCAGAGAAAAAGAAAAGAAAAUAGGCUAGUAUAAGGAUAUCCUACAUUAUCUUUCCUAUCUUACAAUCAUAAAUGAGUAAUUGGAGACUUGUCUUUUGUAUAAGAUGCUCUGAAUUUUCCUUCAUUUAAUAAUAGAUGUCCUAUA